GUUUUGUGUUGCUGCAAAUGUUUUGUUUCAUAGGACUUGUGUGAGCUGGAACAUAUGGAUUGAUAGUGCUACUGUGCAAGAUAUGGAGCUGGAGAAACGGUAACGGGAACUUACGGAUUUGUUGAAGUAAUUACAAGCGAAAAGGUGGCAGCAGAGUUCCAAUUCGAAAAGGAGAUGAAGCGUAUUAAAGAAGCUCAGGUAGAAGUAGAAAGAAGCAGAGUCCCUCGACGCGCAUCAACAAGUUGGGAACGGGAAGAAGACACCGACAUGAAAGACCUUGAGCAUCUCCCCUUUCAUCGUCGCCACUUGGUUGGGGCAAGCAUACAGCUUCAGAAGGCUACAAAAUUUUUAGACUUUGGUGUCGUCAGGGCUAUGAGGUUUCUAUAUUCAAAGUUCAGAUCUCUAGCAAGAUAUGGUAUCCUACAUUUACUUAAUCAUGCAAGAACUCAAAGCUAGAGGAAUCAACCAGCGGCAGUUCAACCACACACAACUCGGGCAUUCACUCCUCUUCAUGGAUCAGUGGAAUUCAAUCUAAAUCAAGUUAAACAAGCGUGAUUCACAACUAGAAAUAGUGCCAUGAUGGAGCAUCGCAGAAAACUUGCCUAGGGAGACUCAGAAAUAUUGAAAACCAUCGUUUCAGUGGAUGGAUACCAAAGGAGCUUCUUUCGAUUCUCACUUUCAUAUCUUCAAACAUGAGGUACAAACUGUUUUUGACAUGGACCCACCGUCUCUUAGUGAACCAAUACGUGAUGACAUAUCACAGGUGAUCCGAAAAGUGUGGUGGUCACGGAAUUAAGUUCGGCAACGAUAAACGGUGGUUGAACACAACAAUAGUAAAGGUGGUGUGAUUCAGUGGUGACUAGCAGCGGUGGAUUCAGUGGUGAAUCAGUUGAAAAAUUCAUGAUUGGGAGCUACAUUUUUCAGUUUAAUGUAAUUUAAUAUCUACAUAAGUAACGAAACG